UGACAAGCGCAUCUCUGAGCGGUGUGAUUGAUUCUGCGGCAUCCUCAACCACCCAGGGCAGCCCCAGGACCCCCGCAGCGAUGACAAGCGCAUCUCUGAGCGGUGUGAUUGAUUCUGCGGCAUCCUCAACCACCCAGGGCAGCCCCAGGACCCCCGCAGGUACGCACACGCACCAAACUGGUUCUCCACAAAGCGGUGUAGCCUGCCUUGUACAGAACCACCAAGAGCAUCUCAUUGCGUCCGUUGCUCCUGGUGCUUCCAUCUGACUCAUUCGUUUUCUUUUAUUUCCCGUCUUUUCAUAGCGAUGACAAGCGCAUCUCUGAGCGGUGUGAUUGAUUCUGCGGCAUCCUCAACCACCCAGGGCAGCCCCAGGACCCCCGCAGCGAUGACAAGCGCAUCUCUGAGCGGUGUGAUUGAUUCUGCGGCAUCCUCAACCACCCAGGGCAGCCCCAGGACCCCCGCAGGUACGCACACGCACCAAACUGGUUCUCCACAAAGCGGUGUAGCCUGCCUUGUACAGAACCACCAAGAGCAUCUCAUUGCGUCCGUUGCUCCUGGUGGUUCCAUGUGACUCAUUCGUUUUCUUUUAUUUCCCGUCUUUUCAUAGCGAUGACAAGCGCAUCUCUGAGCGGUGUGAUUGAUUCUGCGGCAUCCUCAACCACCCAGGGCAGCCCCAGGACCCCCGCAGGUACGCACACGCACCAAACUGG